CAGUCGCCACGGGAAUACGUAGGGUGCGAGCGUUAAUCGGAAUUACUGGGCGUAAAGCGUGCGCAGGCGGUUAUAUAAAACAGAUGUGAAAUCCCCGGGCUCAACCUGGGACCUGCAUUUGUGACUGUAUAGCUAGAGUACGGUAGAGGGGGAUGGAAUUCCGCGUGUAGCAGUGAAAUGCGUAGAGAUGUGGAGGAACACCGAUGGCGAAGGCAGCCCCCUGGGCCAAUACUGACGCUCAUGCACGAAAGCGUGGGGAGCAAACAGGAUUAGAUACCCCAGUAGUCCCUGUCUCUUAUAC
rnacentral:rRNA from 1 species